GAGACAGUAAGGAAUUUAUAAGAAAUGGAUACUCUCUUCUUAAGCUGAUGAGAAAAAUAACACAAAACAUAAGUAAGUGAGGUAAUAGAAGACCAAAUACUAAAAUGAGUAGCUCAUAACUCUAAAUGAUACAGAAGUAUGUAAGAAGAACCAGUCAGCAGAUAUUGAAACUGAAUGAAAAGGAUAUGUGGAAUGAGCAGAAAAUUGAUUGAUCCUUAAAGUAUCAAGUAGCAGAGACAGGUUGACUCAGGAAAAUGGAGCAUCAUGAACAAAAGAUUGCAGAUGGAAAUUUAAAGGUGUGGUUAGCGAGACACACAUUCCAGGGCUGAAAACCCAUGCUAGGAAGUAAGGAGGAAUACAAUUAUACAUGGAGAAAAGGGCAUAUUAAGGAAAGCCUUAAAUUGUGUUUAAGUAUGAAAUACAUAUAAUUGAUACAGAAUUAUUGGACAAUUUUCGGAGGAGGAAGAGGUGACAAUAAAGUUUUCUGUUUGGCCAGGCAUGGUGGCUCACGCCUGUAAUCACAGCACUUUGGGAGGCUGAGGUGGGUGGAUCACGUGGUCAGGAGUUCGAGACCAGCUUGGUCAAUAUGGUGAAACCCCGUCUCUACUAAAAGUACAAAAAUUAGCUGGCUGUGGUGGCACAUGCCUGUAGUCCCAGCUACUCGGGAGGCUGAGGCAGAAGAAUCGCUUGAGCCCGGGAGGCGGAGGUUGAAGUAGCCCAGAUCGUGCCACCGCACUCCACCCUGGGCAACAGAGUGAGACUCCAUCUCCAAAAAAAAAAAAAAAGUUUUCUGUUUAAGGAAAAGUAAUCUCAUAGCAAAAUAGGAGAUGGAGAAAUAAGUAAUCAGAGAAGAUAGAGAAAUCAAUUCAGGGUUCAGUUCUGCCAAAAUAGGGACAACAGCCAUGAGCUUGAAAGGAAAAUCGAUAAACCAGGCAUGUUCUGAGAGAGAAAAUGAGAAGGUUUAGUGACAUUAUGUAUAAAGAUGCAGAAGAUGUGAUAGGAAAAAAUAAUCUGUAGACUUCAAGAGUAAAGAUCAUUGAUUAUCAGUGAUACUUUACAUGUUUAGGAAUAUAAGCAAAUUUAGACAUACACAUUGGCCAGAUUACACUUACUUGCUAGAUGCAUUUCUAAGCCCCGCAUUUUAAUAAAAACAAUGUUGAGUCAAAUAUUUCAGAAUCAGAGAAAAAUGGAAAGAAAAUUGCAUUAGGCAGGUGUUGUGGGUUGAAUUGUGUUCCCUAAAAUUUACGUGUGGAAGCGCUAAUUCUCAGUACUUCAGAAUGUGAUUGCAUUUGGAGAUAGUGCCCUUAAAGAGGUAAUUGAGUUAAAUGAGGCCAUUAAGGUGGGCCCUAAUCCAAACUGACUGGUGACCUUAUUAAAAAGAGAUUUGGACACUUGGUGACAACAGGUAUAUAUAUUCACAGAGAAAGGAUUAUUUGAGGACACCAAGAGGUGACCAUCAGCAAGCCCAGGAGAGAGGCCUCAGAAGAAACCAGACCUGCUGAUUCCUUGAUCUUGAACUUCUAGCCUCCGGAACUAUCCAACUUGAAUGCUUCCUGAUUAAAUAUAUACAGGAGUGAUUUCAGAGGAAUUUAAGUUUUGGAUCAUUCUUUUGAGAAAGAAAGAAAAGUACCCUUUUAAAAGAGGUUCAACAAAGCCAUUAAGACUAACCGUUUUUGCUGGAGCUGCAAGAUUUUCCAUUUCUUCAUGAGUCACCCAAACGUUGCCUGAAGGCUAGUGAGGAGGCCCAGAGGGAAGCAGAGGAAUCCAUGGGAGGCAAGCAGUGGUAAAGAAGAAAGGCAGCACCUCUGUGAGUUAACAGCAACACAGCAAUACCACAGUGCCCUUGCCCCUACCGUGUGCAUGAAAGAGACAGCAUGGCUGGUUUGCUCAGAGCUCCCUGUUUCUUCUACUCAAAAAGAUUAACUAGAAAGAGGCAUUCUGUGAAGCUCUUGGGGAUGUAGAUUUAAAAUGACAUUUCUGCAAUUAUUAAUCAGAAAAAGAGCAUCAUCAAAAUUUGCAUUUCAAUGGUAUGUGGCUAUCAGAUCAAUUUUUGUAAUAACGGUGAACUGAUUAAAUUUGAACUGUAGAAUAAUGUAAUUUUAAUUUUUUACUCAGAAAACAAUGGCACAUGCACUUUGUUGUGUUAUUAUCAAAAUUUCCUUCACAUAAUUUUGAUUCUCGAUAUCCUUUGAAGGAAAAAAAAUGGUUGUCAAUAUAAAGCGGGAAGCAUUAUCGUAACUUAUCUGGAAACCAGCAUCAGCUUUUCCCAAAAGAUUCCUUUUACUGUGUGUGAUUCAGUAAAUAGUAAGUGUCCCUGAAUUCUUGCAGCUGAGAAAGAAGUGAAAUGCUAUUUUUAAUUUAAUAAAAUGUAUUUUUUAGCCACACUAAUAACUGUCAAAUUAUAAAAUCCAUAUAUUUCCUAAUUCUCCACCAGUAUCUGAUACCAUUAUAGAGAAGAACAUAGUGUAAAAUAAUUUUUUUUCUCUAGCAGGCAAUAUUCUAUUAUAAAGUCCCAUUUGCUUUCUAAAUAAAACACCCCUUGGUAUUAGUUCUAUACACUUAAUAACGUACAGUUUCGAAACCAAAGUCCACUUAGUAACAUACAGAUCAGGCAUAUCAUUGAAGGUAUUGGCCCCUGGAAACCACUUGCCAUCAAAUUCCAUCAUUUCUUUAUGAACAUUGCAAGGUUUUCCAAGCACAUCAAUGAAAUUUACAUCCUAUAUAUUAUCUGCUACUUGUUUU
rnacentral:lncRNA from 1 species